GGGGGACAACAUUUGGAAACGAAUGCUAAUACCGCAUAAAAACUUUAAACACAAGUUUUAAGUUUGAAAGAUGCAAUUGCAUCACUCAAAGAUGAUCCCGCGUUGUAUUAGCUAGUUGGUGAGGUAAAGGCUCACCAAGGCGAUGAUACAUAGCCGACCUGAGAGGGUGAUCGGCCACAUUGGGACUGAGACACGGCCCAAACUCCUACGGGAGGCAGCAGUAGGGAAUCUUCGGCAAUGGACGAAAGUCUGACCGAGCAACGCCGCGUGAGUGAAGAAGGUUUUCGGAUCGUAAAACUCUGUUGGUAGAGAAGAACGUUGGUGAGAGUGGAAAGCUCAUCAAGUGACGGUAACUACCCAGAAAGGGACGGCUAACUACGUGCCAGCAGCCGCGGUAAUACGUAGGUCCCGAGCGUUGUCCGGAUUUAUUGGGCGUAAAGCGAGCGCAGGUGGUUUAUUAAGUCUGGUGUAAAAGGCAGUGGCUCAACCAUUGUAUGCAUUGGAAACUGGUAGACUUGAGUGCAGGAGAGGAGAGUGGAAUUCCAUGUGUAGCGGUGAAAUGCGUAGAUAUAUGGAGGAACACCGGUGACGAAAGCGGCUCUCUGGCCUGUAACUGACACUGAGGCUCGAAAGCGUGGGGAGCAAACAGGAUUAGAUACCCUGGUAGUCCACGCCGUAACGAUGAGUGCUAGAUGUAGGGAGCUAUAAGUUCUCUGUAUCGCAGCUAACGCAAUAUGUCAGCUAGAUGA
rnacentral:rRNA from 1 species